rnacentral:rRNA from 1 species
AGUGAACGCUGGCGGUAUGCCUAACACAUGCAAGUCGAACGGCAGCACAGUAAGAGCUUGCUCUUACGGGUGGCGAGUGGCGGACGGGUGAGGAAUACAUCGGAAUCUACUUUUUCGUGGGGGAUAACGUAGGGAAACUUACGCUAAUACCGCAUACCACCUACGGGUGAAAUCAGAGGAUCUUCGGACCUUGCGCGAUUGAAUGAGCCGAUGUCGGAUUAGCUAGUUGGCGGGGUAAAGGCCCACCAAGGCGACGAUCCGUAGCUGGUCUGAGAGGAUGAUCAGCCACACUGGAACUGAGACACGGUCCAGACUCCUACGGGAGGCAGAAGUGGGGAAUAUUGGAAAAUGGGCGCAAGCCUGAUCAAGCCAUACCGCGUGGGUGAAGCAGGCCUUCGGGUUGUAAAGCCCUUUUGUUGGGAAAGAAAAGCAGCAGGUGAAUCCACGGCUGUUCUGACGGUACCCAAAGAAUAAGCACCGGCUAACUUCGUG